rnacentral:rRNA from 1 species
AGUGAACGCUGGCGGUAGGCCUAACACAUGCAAGUCGAACGGCAGCACAGUAAGAGCUUGCUCUUACGGGUGGCGAGUGGCGGACGGGUGAGGAAUACAUCGGAAUCUACUUUUUCGUGGGGGAUAACGUAGGGAAACUUACGCUAAUACCGCAUACGACCUACGGGUGAAAGCAGGGGAUCUUCGGACCUUGCGCGAGGGAAUGAGCCGAUGUCGGAUUAGCUAGUUGGCGGGGCAGAGGCCCACCAAGGCGACGAUCCGUAGCUGGUCUGAGAGGAUGGUCAGCCACACUGGAACUGAGACACGUCCCAGACUCCUACGGUAGGAAGCGGUGGGGAAUAUUGGACGAUGGGCGCAAGCCUGAUCCAGCCAUACCGCGUGAGUGAAGAAGGACUUCGGGUUGUAGAGCCCUUUUGUUGGGAAAGAAGAGCAGCAGGUUAAUCCCCCGCUAUAAUGACGGUACCCAAAGAAUAAGCACCGGCUAACUUCGUG